GCGAAAACUUUACAAUGCUGGCAACAGCGAUAAGGGAACCUCGAGUGCCAGGUUACAAAUCUGGCUGUCGAGAUGCCUAAAAAGCAUUUCAUAGCAAGGGCCGGGCAAGACCGGUGCCAGCCGCCGCGGUAACACCGGCGGCUCGAGUGGUAACCGUUAGUAUUGGGUCUAAAGGGUCUGUAGCCGGCCGGAUAAGUCUCUUGAGAAAUCUGGCAGCUUAACUGUCAGGCUUUCAGGAGAUACUGUCUGGCUCGAGGCCGGGAGAGGUGAGAGGUACUUCAGGGGUAGGGGUGAAAUCUUGUAAUCCUUUAAGGACCACCAGUGGCGAAGGCGUCUCACCAGAACGGACCUGACGGCAAGGGACGAAAGCUAGGGGCACGAACC
rnacentral:rRNA from 1 species